rnacentral:rRNA from 1 species
UACGAAGGGGGCUAGCGUUGUUCGGAAUUACUGGGCGUAAAGCGCACGUAGGCGGAUUGAUCAGUUAGAGGUGAAAUCCCAGGGCUCAACCCUGGAACUGCCUUUAAUACUGUCAGUCUAGAGAUCGAGAGAGGUGAGUGGAAUUCCGAGUGUAGAGGUGAAAUUCGUAGAUAUUCGGAGGAACACCAGUGGCGAAGGCGGCUCACUGGCUCGAUACUGACGCUGAGGUACGAAAGUGUGGGGAGCAAAC